CUUCCUCUCUAUCCCCAAUUCGCUGCCAACUCCUCCCCAAUCCCGCCGCUUAGGAAAAAAUCCUCAUCUUUGGCGUCUACUUGCUCCCUCCAAGUUGGUCUCCUCCUCUCCUUCCCUCGCCGCCGUGUUGUGCCCCGAGGCACCACGCUACCCUCCGGCUGCGCGUCCAAUCGCCCGAGGAACUUGUGCUGCUUCCUCUCGCGACGCCGCCGGACGAGACCACCAGCGCAACACAGUGCACAGGCGGUGUGGCGCGGCCGAGGACGCCGUUUUCGAGCGCAUGCAGCGGGAGAUGUGAGCUUGAAGAGGUGGUUCCCCGGGGAACACAGCGGCGCAUCGCGCCAUCGCCGAUCUGCGCCAUAGGAUCUUCGCGGUGACGCGGAGGCGGCGAUGGCGAGAUGCUUGGCCUUGCGGGAGAGGGAUUCGUGGCUGAACCCAAAGUCGGCAACACCCUCCACCGAGCGGAACACGUCGUCUAGCUCCAGCACGCGAAGAUGUGCUCCCUGUAGGCACCAGGCGAUGGGGAGAGCAAACUGCAUGUCGAGGUGAGCUGCGCUCGCGCGUCCUGCCACCAUGCAUGCAGCAGGCCGAUAGACUUUGUUCAAAAAUACUGCAGGUCUCCUGCUAGCCUCCAUGACCUUCAACUUUGUGUAAGUCAUAGUUUCAGAAAACCACCGUCAAUUUGCAGGGGAUGGUUUGACAUCUGGAGUUGCCGAUUUGAUGCAUUUUCCGUCCAGUUUAUACAAGAACCUGGGAUUUUUAUUCUGAAUUUGCUAUCCGGGAUCACAAGUGUCAAAUCUAUGUGUGGUUCAGGAAAUCACUCGAAUAUAAUAGCAAAUGUCUACACUCUACACUGAAGCUUUUAUACAUGUUGAUGAUUUUGAUGUGGGUCUUUGAAUGGUUAGAUUUACUUAGCCUUUUUUAGUGUAGAACAACAGUUUCAAUGCCAUUCUUUGUUGAUAAAAAAAAAUUACCUGAUUUUUCUAGAUUCUAAUGUCAGGAUUUCUAUGCUAGGAAAAAUAGCCUUCAAUACAAUUCAGUAUAAGUUUAUGCACUAUUUGUUGGUUGCCGCAGCAAAUAAGAAGGUUCACACCAUUCAAGUUAAGUUGAGAACAGAUAAAACAUGUGCUCCUUUUCUCAUUAUCUGAGUAGCUGAAGAAGUUGAGAAGCUUGAACUUGCUCCUUUCUCAUUAUCUUCCAGUUUGUAUUAUAUGUGACCUGAAUUAUUUAUGCACAAAAUGGAUUAUGAUAAAUUUUACUACAUGGGUGCAUACAUAGAUUUGUUGGUUCCUUUGAUGUAUAUAUCACUGAUUUUUUAUUCUUCCUUGAUACACAUGUUACAAAGUUAUUUCCAUGUGUUUUCUAGACAACAUGUUCUGGGAGUGGUUCAUAUAUGUAUGACAUCCACUCAUGUGUUACUGGCAGGUUACAGAUUGCUGAACUUUUCUGAUUUCUUCCUUCUGCUUGGUUGAAGCAGAGAUACAAGUAACCUCAGGAUUAUGGUUCAGUGUAUUGGUUUUGAGAAUGGACAUAUUAACAGAUACAAACAACUGGCCAAUAACCUGAAUAUACAUAGUGGGUGUGAACUUCUAAUUCACAACAACAACAAAUUGCAAAUUUAGACUAUCCUAAAAACUGAGCAAGAUUCUCUUCAUGUUUGCGGGACCUUCAGGACGGCGGUAGCAGCAUGACUGAACCAAAAAGCUCAAGAAGGCUGACAAGAAUUGCCAGAGGUACUGGACGGCACGGCUGGUGUCAUCUUGGAAAUACCUUUUGUAAUCAUUGGUCUACUUGAGUGUGAUCAUCCAGCAUCAGGUGUCAGGAAAUAUCAAAUACAUAAGGAGGGCAAAACAUGGACCUAACAGCUGGAAGUCUUUACAGAGGGCAACCAUAGAUAAAAGCUACGGAGCCGUUUUGGAAUACUCCUUCUGUGAAGAUUGAAUAUUCUCCUUGGAUAUUACUUUGCCACAUUAUAUCUAACAAGCAGUUUGCAUAGUUGUUAGGCUUUAUUGACAUGUAUUAGAAGAUAGUGUCUCUGAGGUUUGAUGGUAGAUAUUUAGUGUUUCUUCACAAAAUCUUAUAAGUUCAAAUUCAGUUCGGUGGGGCAUUUGCAUAAUGGGAUUAAGGAGGAGUAUAUAAUAGGAUCAAGAAAUUGAUCGUGUGCCUUGA